CUCUACAAUUGUUGUUUAAAGCUGCCUGAAUAUACUACACAUAGUGACGAAAAUUUAAAUUAAUAUUUCUGAGUUAGGAUCACUUUACAUUGUUAUAUAUUGUAUAUUUCGUAUAAAAUAAAUGGGAAUAGUAAUUAACUGGAAUAGCAAAGUCAAAAGGACUUGUUUUGUGGUCCAUAUCUAUGCAUAUAACCCCGACUUCAAUCGGUACAUCCGUAAUUAAGGCCAAAUAAUAUAUUGGUAAUAUUUUUCAGGGCCAUCUACCGAUGGAUUACGGUGAAAGAUCUAAAUGUAAUGGAAUUCGAGGAAACCAUGGAAACAGACACUCCAAUGGGUCUCCUUCGAGGAAUUAAAUACGGAACAGAAACUUAUCACGUGCUGUUUAUGAGAUUGUGCAGUUACGCCGGUCUGAACUGUGAAGAGAUCAAAGGUCAUUCUAAGAGUGUCGGGUACGAGCCCGGGAUGAAGAUCAAGCCCGAGCACUUCCAGAAUACUUGGAAUGCCGUGCUUAUUGACGGCGACUGGCGGCUGGUCCAGUGUAACUGGGGAGCCAGGCACUUGGUUCUGAACAAAGACAAGAAGAGUAAAGACAAACCAAAGCCCAAGUCCAAGGACCAGAUCCGCUAUCAGUACGACGAGCACUAUUUUCUGACGGAUCCGGACGAGUUCAUCCAGGAAUUCUGGGCCUCUGAUCCAAAAUGGCAGCUGCUGGAGAACCCAAUCACGCUUGAAGAGUUCGAGGCCUUGCCGUUUGUUCGCUCCAUUUUCUUCCACUAUGGAAUGACGUUUGAAAAGAGUUUACCCGCGGUCCUUGUUACAACUGAAAAAGGGGCAACGGAAGUGAAAAUAAAAAUUCCAGAAGAAUACGAAAAUGACCUGGUUUUCUAUUAUCAGAUGAGGUACGCAGACAAGGAGAAGCGACAAGAGGCCACAUACAAAGGCGCCAGUCUGGAGAGGUUUGUAUUCCAGACCAUGAUUGACAACACCGUGAUGUUCAGCAUCCAUGUCCCAGCCGUGGGAGAGUAUUUCUUUGAAGUUUUUGCCAAUAAGAUUGAGGAAAGCAAUAGACUCAUUAAUUCUGAGGAGACUGCCGGGGCAUCAAUUUCUCCUUUUAGAUUGAAGUGUACUUGUAAGUUUAAGGUUGUUUGUAAUUCGCUUAGUGGGAAAAUGCAUCCCCUCCCAGACUGCGCUUCCGGUGAAUGGGGACCUAAAAAGGGAUACCGACACUUUGGAUUGAAGGUGGUUCAAACGCGACCAGGGAAAUCCAGCAAAAGCCGAGCAUCACCCGAUUCUUCGGAAGGGGACAGAAUGUCGGACAGUGGAAGCUCCUCUGGAGAUGAACCACCGGACAACCCCAAGGCGGGAAUUCUGAACGUGGAGGACACUCUGGAUAUAAAGUUAAAGAUGCCACGUCCCUUACAAGUGGUAGCAAAACUCAAAAUGAACAAUGUGGAAACCAAAACGCUGGACGCCUUCAUCAAUACAAAUGUAGAUAAGGACACUAUCCACAUCACGGCGACUCUCCCUCAGACGGGGCAGUACGGACUCGAUAUCUACGGCCGCCCGAAAGAAGCAGGAGAGAACACCACCUUGUCUCACGCCAUGAAGUAUCUCAUCAACUGCCUGAAAGUCACCAAUCCGGUCGAUAUUCCGAAAAUUCCAGAGAAACAGACCUCUAUUAAGAAAGAAAAGUGGGGCCCACAGCCGACUUUCGAAUCUCUGGGCAUCAAAACCAUCAAUCCUAAAGAACCAAAGAUUACACUGAACGACUUCCAACGCGUGUACUGUAGAAAUCCUCGUGCCCGAGGAUGUUGUCGUGACUCAUCAGUUCCUCAAGGAGCCGGAUGCUGACGUCAAAGAUCGCGUUGCUAUGGUGCCUGAGAAAGGCGGGACGAUUAAAUACCACGUGGAUCUUCCACAGACCGGAAAUUACAUGCUGAGUUUGUUCGGGCGAAAGAAGGAAGACGAUGAGAUGCCAAACAUUUACAACUAUCUUAUUGUGUACAAGAAAUCCGGCGAAACAAAUGGCAGCACCCCGCAAAAAGAAGAACGCAGGAGUUCGUCCAUAUUUAAAAAGGGGUUCUUCAAGAAAAGUGAGAAAAAGUAACGGAAAAAUGUUAUCCAGAAUAUCCGUUCUUUCAUGUGGAUGAUUGGGAUGGUCACUUUGUUAAAGGGCUGUCAAUCAUUCUUACUACACAAUCAACAGCGGGACCAUGUCGGUAGACGGGAGGUAACUCUGCCCUAUCCGGCCUCUGGUGAAUUGACAAUACAGUGUUCAGACCAAUGAAGAUAUUCCAAUUUUAUGACCAUCGAAAUAUUAUACGCAUUUAUCGUCGGUUUCCCUUUUUCAAGUGCAUGAAAUUCCUUUAAACAUGAAUUCUAAGGCAAUGGCAGGUUGGGGGGGGGGGUAUGACCGGUGUAGCCUGUUACCGAUAUCAUGUGCUGUAUAGCGUAUCAACCUAUUUGAUAUGAUUUAUAUCGACGAUAUUAUACCCGAUCCAUGUGAUAUUAAUCUACCACGUGAUAUCAAUAUCUGUGUAGCCGUUUACAGACAUUGUACACAUUUAUAAGGUGAUGUUAUAUCUUUUUUUGGUUACAUUAUGGUGAUGUUCAUUUCUGCCUGUUUUUGUAGCCGACUUUCGUUCAACUCAUUUAACAUGGUGUAUACCUUUGUGUCUGUAAUCAUUGAUUUCUUUAAAUGUACUUGUUUCUGUGACGUUUUCUGUGAGUGCUUCAGCCAUCUACCGACCGGUAUAGUGCUCCUGUGAACUCUAUCAGCCGCUGCCUCAGACUUUAUACAAGUGCCUGAUUCUACAUACACAUUUUUGAUAUUAUUACUCUUUUGCUCCCAUUUAGUUAACUUCUUUGCUGUUUAUGUAUUUAUGUAACCCAAAGAUAUGAUGAAUUAAUAUAUUUGUGUUAUAUAUUUUUUCCAUUGGAAGUAAAACGUUUACCGUUGAGGACAAGAAUAAACUAAUGAAUCCUA
rnacentral:sRNA from 1 species